rfam:Candidatus Contendobacter odensis Run_B_J11, WGS project CBTK01000000 data, contig: COMPJ11_2695_Contig_63
GUCAAUUACCCCGCCCUAAAGGGCGAGGCUUGUGGUGGAUGAAACCGCAAGUCUGGAUUGACCAGCCCAAGCCGUAACCAACCGGCUCCGUUGCAACGAAGUACCCGACCGACGCCGGGGCGCUUCCUCAACUCCGGCCUCUCGAAGCGGCCGAUGCAGACACGCGACCGGGUAAGUACGAAACGGUUUGUCGCCAGGCGAAAGCCAAAGCUGCGUUGCAACAUGGGCGAGGGGAGCGAAGC